UACGGAGGAUGCGAGCGUUAUCCGGAUUUAUUGGGUUUAAAGGGUGCGUAGGCGGACUGUCAAGUCAGCGGUAAAAUUGAGAGGCUCAACCUCUUCCCGCCGUUGAAACUGGUGGUCUUGAGUGGAUGAGAAGUACGCGGAAUGCGUGGUGUAGCGGUGAAAUGCAUAGAUAUCACGCAGAACUCCGAUUGCGAAGGCAGCGUACCGGCAUCCAACUAACGCUGAGGCACGAAAGCGUGGGGAUCAAACAGG
rnacentral:rRNA from 1 species